AGAGUUGAUCCUGGCUCAGGAUGAACGCUAGCGAUAGGCCUAACACAUGCAAGUCGAGGGGCAGCACAUGAGUAGCAAUACGAUGGUGGCGACCGGCGCACGGGUGAGUAACACGUAUGCAACCUACCUUUAACAGGGGAAUAACCCGUUGAAAAACGGACUAAUACUCCAUAACACAGGGGUCCCGCAUGGGAAUAUUUGUUAAAGAUUAAUCGGUUGAAGAUGGGCAUGCGUUCCAUUAGCUUGUUGGUGAGGUAACGGCUCACCAAGGCCACGAUAGAUAGGGGAACUGAGAGGUUUAUCCCCCACACUGGAACUGAGACACGGUCCAGACUCCUACGGGAGGCAGCAGUGAGGAAUAUUGGUCAAUGGAGGCAACUCUGAACCAGCCAAGUCGCGUGAAGGAUGAAGGUCUUAUGGAUUGUAAACUUCUUUUGCAAGGGAGUAAAGUGGGGGACGUGUCCUCCUUUGCAUGUACCUUGCGAAUAAGGAUCGGCUAACUCCGUGCCAGCCGCGGC
rnacentral:rRNA from 1 species